GUAUAUAGAUGCGUUAUACGCGAUGUCAUUCUACACAUACUACAGAGUUUAUGAUAAACAUAGAGCGCAGGCCUGACGGCCGCAACCCUACAAAUGAUGCACAGGGGUAUGAAGGUUGGAUUUUUGAACGAGGCGUGCACAAUAUCCCGCUAGGGACCAGCAAACAACCCCUUCAAAUAUUCAAUAAUGAUCCUUCCGCAGGUUCACCUACGGAAA
rnacentral:misc_RNA from 1 species